GACGAACGCUGGCGGCGUGCUUAACACAUGCAAGUCGAGCGAUGAAGCUCCUUCGGGAGUGGAUUAGCGGCGGACGGGUGAGUAACACGUGGGUAACCUGCCUCAUAGAGGGGAAUAGCCUUUCGAAAGGAAGAUUAAUACCGCAUAAGAUUGUAGUACCGCAUGGUACAGCAAUUAAAGGAGUAACCCGCUAUGAGAUGGACCCGCGUCGCAUUAGCUAGUUGGUGAGGUAACGGCUCACCAAGGCGGCGAUGCGUAGCCGACCUGAGAGGGUGAUCGGCCACAUUGGGACUGAGACACGGCCCAGACUCCUACGGGAGGCAGCAGUGGGGAAUAUUGCACAAUGGGGGAAACCCUGAUGCAGCAACGCCGCGUGAGUGAUGACGGUCUUCGGAUUGUAAAGCUCUGUCUUUAGGGACGAUAAUGACGGUACCUAAGGAGGAAGCCACGGCUAACUACGUGCCAGCAGCCGCCGUAA
rnacentral:rRNA from 1 species